AGUUAAUGUUAACUGAGGAUGAAAUAAAUUAAACUGAACCAUUGGCAAUCAUGUCAUUAUAAUCAUAAUCAACUUCUUUCUCAGGAGUGUGUGAAGGAGCUGAAUCUGAGGAACAUGGUGUCCAUCUCCAUGGAUGGACCCAAUGUAAAUUGGAAAUUCUUUGAGCUUCUACAGCAAGAGCACGCUGAGCAGUAUGGUGGUGUCCAGCUGGUGAAUGUGGGUAGCUGUGGCCUCCACACCCUACAUAACGCAUUCAAAUGUGGAUUCUCUAUGUGGCAACUGGAGAAGGUGUUGAGGGGGAUGCACUACCUUUUUCAUAACACACCAGCAAGGAGGGAUGACUUCAUUGCCCUCACCAAAUCCUCAGUCUUCCCGCUACCAUUCUGUGGGCAUCGGUGGAUUGAAAACCUGCCAGUUGUAGAAAGGGCCAUAGAGGUAAUAGUAAUUAAACGUUAUUUAUAUUAUAGCACUUGUCAAAACAAAAUGACAAGGUGCUGCAAAAUACGAUAAAAUAGACGUGCAUGAUGAAAUAAUAAACACAUACAUGAUGAAAUAUUAAAGGUAUGGCCUUCACUGGUGACAUACGUGGAUGCAGUGCGGACAAAGAAGGUUCCAAACCCUGGAACAGCCUCAUUUGACACCAUAGAAGCAGCCAAGCAAGAUCCACUCAUCUUGCCUAAGCUACUAAUUCUUCAUGGCCAUCUCAAGGACGUUCACUCCCUUUCUGACGAAGUAUCAGACUGACGCACCAGUCAUGCCAUUCCUUUGCAAGGACUUGGUGGAGUUGUUCCAGGUAAUCAAAUUAAUAAUGAAGAAUCAAGAAGAAAAGAAAAACAAG
rnacentral:lncRNA from 1 species